UAGGGUGGUUUUAGCGGUGGGGCUCACCUGUUCCCAUUCCGAACACAGAAGUUAAGCCCACCAGCGCCGAUGGUACUGCGAAAGCGGGAGAGUAGGUCACCGCCAGUUUUUAUUUUUAAACCUCAUACAGUAAUGUGUGAGGUUUUUUUGUUUUAUAUCCAUAU
rnacentral:rRNA from 1 species